rnacentral:rRNA from 1 species
UACGUAGGGGGCAAGCGUUGUCCGGAAUCAUUGGGCGUAAAGAGCGUGUAGGCGCCAGAAAAGUCCGCUGUGAAAACUCGAGGCUCAACUUCGAGCUGUCGGUGGAAACUUUCUGGCUAGAGUCCGGAAGAGGAGAAUGGAAUUCCUGGUGUAGCGGUGAAAUGCGCAGAUAUCAGGAAGAACACCCGUGGCGAAGGCGGUUCUCUGGGACGUAACUGACGCUGAGGCACGAAGGCCAGGGGAGCAAACGGG